CCAGAAAGGGACGGCUAANUACGUGCCAGCAGCCGCGGUAAUACGUAGGUCCCGAGCGUUNUCCGGAUUUAUUGGGCGUAAAGCGAGCGCAGGCGGUUAGAUAAGUNUGAAGUUAAAGGCUGUGGCUUAACCAUAGUACGCUUUGGAAACUGUUUAACUUGAGUGCAGAAGGGGAGAGUGGAAUUCCAUGUGUAGCGGUGAAAUGCGUAGAUAUAUGGAGGAACACCGGUGGCGAAAGCGGCUCUCUGGUCUGUAACUGACGCUGAGGCUCGAAAGCGUGGGGAGCGAACAGGAUUAGAUACCCUGGUAGUNCACGCCGUAAACGAUGAGUGCUAGGUGUUAGGCCCUUUCCGGGGCUUAGUGCCGCAGCUAACGCAUUAAGCACUCCGCCUGGGGAGUACGACCGCAAGGUUGAAACUCAAAGGAAUUGACGGGGGCCCGCACAAGCGGUGGAGCAUGUGGUUUAAUUCGAAGCAACGCGAAGAACCUUACCAGGUCUUGACAUCCCGAUGCCCGCUCUAGAGAUAGAGUUUUACUUCGGUACAUCGGUGACAGGUGGUGCAUGGUUGUCGUCAGCUCGUGUCGUGAGAUGUUGGGUUAAGUCCCGCAACGAGCGCAACCCUUAUUGUUAGUUGCCAUCAUUCAGUUGGGCACUCUAGCGAGACUGCCGGUAAUAAACCGGAGGAAGGAGGGGAUGACGUCAAAUCAUCAUGCCCCUUAUGACCUGGGCUACACACGUGCUACAAUGGCUGGUACAACGAGUCGCAAGUCGGUGACGGCAAGCUAAUCUCUUAAAGCCAGUCUCAGUUCGGAUUGUAGGCUGCAACUCGCCUACAUGAAGUCGGAAUCGCUAGUAAUCGCGGAUCAGCACGCCGCGGUGAAUACGUUCCCGGGCCUUGUACACACCGCCCGUCACACCACGAGAGUUUGUAACACCCGAAGUCGGUGAGGUANCCUUUUAGGAGCCA
rnacentral:rRNA from 1 species